AUUUCAAAUCCUGCAUUUGUUCAAAUCUACUGUUUGCCAAAUUCUAUAAAUUCUAGAUUUGGAUUUGUUCAAUUCCAUCAAAUUUAAACAAAAGCUAUAACAAAAUAAUUUGAAAUACUAGUCAGCAAAGUGUCAUUUGAAAUCAAAAAAUAGAAGACAAACUCCAUGCCUUCACUUCGGGCUGCUCGCUCAUCUUCUCUCCCUCGCCCCUCUUCUCUCCUGCCAUUAUUCCGUCUCCGCCGAAAAUUCAAAGAUUACUAAGCAUUUCAAAGUGUAUGUUAAGUAGUGUGUAUGGUGCGUGGUCAGUGUCUUACUUGUGUGUCUGACUAGAUUCUGUAUUUGUUGAAUAUAUUGAUGAGAAGUGGAGUGGUGAUAGCUCCUCGAUUCUCCCCUCUGAUCCUUAUGAUCGUGUUGUUGCGCGAUUCUGGGCUGCGUAUUUUGAUGACAAGGUGGUUCCAGUCCAGAGAGCGAAAGGGUGGCGUUGAUAGAGCAGCUAGCGGAAGGAUUGGUGCCGCUGGAGGAGGCUUUCAAGACAUGUAGCAAAGGGAAGAGCUACUUCGGGGGAGAUAACAUUGGUUACACUGAUAUUGCUGUUGGAAGCUUCAUUGGAUGGAUCAAGGCAAUCGAGAAAAUGAGUGGCAUCAAGGUUCUGGCUGAGGCAAAAACACCGGGCCUCGUCGGAUGGGUGACCAAGUUUCUGUCGACUGAUGCUGCUAAGAAAUUUGUUCCGGAGCCUGAAGUGUAUGUUGAGCUUCUUAAGAAGAUGCAUGCUUGAGCCUGAGCUGCAUAAAGGAACUGGGGGUGUGUCUGUUUGAUCCAAUAAGUGACUUGUGUUUUCUAGCAAGUUUAUGUAGUAUUAAAAUCAUAAGAUAAGUACAGAUUGCUUGUAAUAUUUGAAUUAUAAGUGUGAAGUACAUGUUAUAAUAAAGUAUUUACUCAUUUUAUCUUGGAUUUUAUUUGUAAUUUUGAAUGAGAUUAAAUAUUUAUCUCA